AUCGGAACACAGGUGCUGCAUGGCUGUCGUCAGCUCGUGUCGUGAGAUGUUGGGUUAAGUCCCGCAACGAGCGCAACCCUUAUCAUUAGUUGCUACGCAAGGGCACUCUAAUGAGACUGCCGGUGACAAACCGGAGGAAGGUGGGGAUGACGUCAAGUCCUCAUGGCCCUUAUGGGUAGGGCUUCACACGUCAUACAAUGGUCGGUACAGAGGGUUGCCAAGCCGCGAGGCGGAGCCAAUCCCACAAAGCCGAUCGUACUCCGGAUUGUUCUCUGCAACUCGAGAGCAUGAAGUCGGAAUCGCUAGUAAUCGCGGGUCAGCAUGCUGCGGUGAAUACGUUCCCGG
rnacentral:rRNA from 1 species